AUUUAUAUUUUAAAUUAAUAUAUUUUUAAUAAAUUAAUAAUGAAAAUAUAUUUCUAAUAUAAUUGGUUUGAAAGGAUAUUGGUUUAUUAUUAAAAUCGUGGUUUACAAAUUAUAUCGGUUUACACACAAACCCGGUUUACACUGGUUUACACACAGACCCAGUUUAGAAAUCUAAACCUGAAAAACAAGAUGAAUAACCCUAGAUCUAAACUCUUCGCCGUCAACUUCAACUCCAUCGAUUUUUUCUUCUUCUUCUUCUUCUACCUCAUCGUCUUUGAACAGCCACCGUCAAACCUCACCAUUGUCUCUGAACCAACUCCAUGAAGCUC
rnacentral:lncRNA from 1 species